AAGCUGUAAUAUACAGUGCCGAGGACUGAGGAGAACAAAUUUGGGGUUAAACCAUAUAUGUUUUUUCUCACCACACACCCCUACUUAAUCUCUGUAGGGGUUUGGUGCAAAGAUGAAGUUCUUCAAAGUGACAAAGCUGUGUGUGGUGAGAAAAAACAUAUAUGGUUUAACCCCAAAUUUGUUCUCCUCAGUCCUCGGCACUGUAUAUUACAGCUUCAU